CGCUGCCCGAACGUCUCGGAGGCCCCUUAGACAAUCGCGGAUGCCGAGCUUCGGGUAACUCUUAGGGUGGAGGCAUAAAAAGACAGGAAUGUAAGGUCCUCUGAGCAGGCGGCGCCAUGGUCAAGCCAUCGUGACCCCUGUGACUCACACGUACACAUCCAGAAGGUCUCCUGGAGCCAGAAAGUCUGGGACGACAGGAAAACCACAAAAGAAGAAAAACGGCUAGUUCCUGUCUUAGCUGAUCAGCCAACCUUGUGACAUUCUAUCAUUGUAACAGGCUGUACCCUAACUGAUCAAUCAACCUCAUGACACUGUGCUCUGUAACCUUAUGAUAAUGUACCUUAUGACAUUCUUCCCCUGCCCUCAAUAAACAGCUCCGAACUAUAACUUUCCACUGCUUACCCCUAAAGUAUAAAACUAGCUCCAACCCCACCACUUCCUUUUCGGACUCAGCCCACCCGCACCCAGUGAAUAAACAACCUUGUUGCUCACACUUAGCCUGUUCAGGGUGUCUCUUCAAUUAGACGCACACAUAACAGACAGAUUAACAAGAAAAACACAUACAGAUUAAUUUAAUAUAAAUUUUUUUUUAUUAUACUUUAAGUUUUAGGGUACAUGUGCACAUUGUGCAGG
rnacentral:lncRNA from 1 species